rnacentral:rRNA from 14 species
CGAAAUGCAUUUAUGUGCACGUCGUGUGUUUCUUGCCAGAGGUAGAGCUACUGGAUGGCUGAUGGGCCCCAACGGGUUACUGACGUCAACCAAACUCCGAAUGCUGGUAAGUGAGAGCACGGCAGUGAGACUGUGGGGGAUAAGCUUCAUAGUCGAAAGGGAAACAGCCCAGACCACCGACUAAGGCCCCUAAGCGUGUGCUAAGUGGGAAAGGAUGUGGAGUUGCUCAGACAACCAGGAGGUUGGCUUAGAAGCAGCCAUCCUUUAAAGAAAGCGUAACAGCUCAUUGGUUUAGUUUUUUUAUUUUUAAAAUGUAUAAGGACUAAAACUAUUCACCGAAACUAUAAAUUAAAAUUAUAUUUUAAUGGUAGCAGAACGUUCUGUAGUCUGUAGAAGAUUUAUGGUUACAUAAGUUGGAAGAAUCAGAAGUGAAAAUGUUGAUAUAAGUAGCGAUAAACAUUGUGAAAAACAAUGUCGCCUAAAAUUGAAGGUUUACAAAGAAAGGCUAAUCCUCUUUGUUAGUAAAUCGGUCCCUAAGAUUUAAACACGAAUGUUUUGAUUAAUGGGUAAAGAGUUAUUUCUUUUAUAAAAUUUUUUUUGAAUAUAAGUGACAAAAUAUAAAUUAAAUUUUUAUUAUAUGGUUUUAAUACAAGUUUAAUAGUAUUUUCAAGAAAUAGCUUAUUAAAAAUUUUUACCGUACUUUAAACCGACACAGGUCAAUAAAUUGAGUAAAUUAAGGCGAUUAAGAUAAUUGUGUUGAAGGAACUCGCCAAAAUGAUUCCGUAACUUAUGGAGAAGGAAUAACUUUUUAGGGAAACCUAAAAAAAGUUGUCACAAAAUCGAGGACAGCGACUGUUUAAUAAAAACACAGGUCUCUGCAAAUUUGUAAAAAGAUGUAUAGGGACUGACGCCUGCCCAGUGCUGUAAAACUAAAAGUUAAAGUUUUGGCUUUUAACUAUAACUCUCAGUAAACGGCGGCUGUAACUCUGACGGUCCUAAGGUAGCGAAAUUCCUUGGCAUUUAAUUGGUGUCCUGCAUGAAUGGCG